rnacentral:rRNA from 1 species
UGGCUCAGUUCAGAUCGUAGGCUGCAACUCGCCUACGUGAAGGAGGAAUCGCUAGUAAUCGCAGGUCAGCAUACUGCGGUGAAUACGUUCCCGGGCCUUGUACACACCGCCCGUCACACCAUGGAAGUUGGCCACGCCCGAAGCCGUUACUCCAACCCUUGUGGAGGAGGACGUCGAAGGUGGGGCUGAUGACUGGGGUGAAGUCGUAACAAGGUAUCCGUACCGGAAGGUGCGGAUGGAUCACCUCCUAA